UACAGAGGUCUCGAGCGUUGUUCGGAUUCAUUGGGCGUAAAGCGCACGUAGGCGGUUUGUUAUGUCGGAUGUGAAAGCCCUUGGCUCAACUGAGGAAGUGCAUCCGAAACUGGCAAGCUAGAGUACUAAAGAGGAUCGCGGAAUUCCCGGUGUAGAGGUGAAAUUCGUAGAUAUCUGGAGGAACACCGGUGGCGAAGGCGGCAUCCUGGACCGACAAUUGACGCUGAGGCGCGAAAGCCAGGGGAGCAAACGGG
rnacentral:rRNA from 1 species